AUCACAGCAAAUCUAUCAAAGAAGGCCAACAUUCCAGGGGCUCAGAUCGACAUCUAAUAUCCAAACUGAAAGAGGGGAGGUUUAGAUAUGAAGAAAUUCCUCCCUGUGAGGGUAGGGAGCCCCUGGCACAGGGUGCCCAAAGAAGCUGUGGCUGCCCCUGGAUCCCUGGACAUGUCCAAGGCCAGGUUGGACAGGGCUUGGAGCACCCUGGGAGAGUGGAAGGUGUCCCAGCCCAUGACAGAGAUGAUCGUGAAGAUGAGGAAAUGAUCCAGAAAAGUGGCAUUGAUUUUGAAGAGCAGCAAAAUUUGCCAGUCAUUGCUUGUUGCUAAGCUGCAACAACAACAAAAAAAAAAGGCCUCCAUCAGCUCUCAGCAUGUCAGUCACAAAUAUCAAUGAGAUGUGGUAUUUACAGUGUGUGCAAGGCUCAGGGAAAGACUGAGACUGCAUCCUGCACUUGGAACAAUUUGGAUGGGACCUUAAAUACCUCCUCACUUGGUUUCACCAAACGAGCUGUGUGAUGUUUUUCUUUGGGCAAUCGGUGUUUUUCAUCUACAGGCUGUGAUCCAUUUAUAAAAAUGCAGGGAAGAUAUUUUAGAGAAAGGGAAAACUACAUGGUCCUAACAAGUCUGCAACUUAGACUGCAAGGAGGUGUUUGUCAGAUCCUCCUCUUAGGAAUCACAUGCCCUUUAGAGCAUUAAAUCUCAACUCCAGCCUGGAAUUUGUUAACUAGAGCUGGACAGCAGAGCUGCAGCCAGAAUAAACAAUUUUUUAUGGCAAGCUUGUGCAAGGAACCAGCCUCAGUGGUCUGUUCUUUCUUCCUUUCUCUAAAUAUUAUUCAUCUAUAACAAAACCCAGCUGAUGACUUUUUCCCCAGUCUAUAUGCCCUCUGAAAAUUUGAUGCAAGACACACAAAUUUCAACACAGAAAAUCUCCACUUGCUUUGUGUCCAGGGGAAGGAGAGAGCUGGCACAAAACCUUUAACCCUUUCACAGAAAAAUCCCUGGGUAGUAGCAGGGAAGAUAUGAGAGUAAAUAUUGCACAGUAAAUAUUCCUUUAUACCUUUUUAUUCAGCUCCUUUAUACUUUACAUCUUUUUACCCAGCUCUGCAGAGAGCCCCCAAGGUCAACAAGUAAUUUACAAAUAUAUUUAACAACAACAAUCACAUGAAUAAUAUGAAUAUUGUAAUAUGAAUAAACAUAUAAAUCCACAGGUAGAAGCUGGUUUGUUUUUUUUUUUUGACAGACUACAUGCAAACACUUUACUAUAAGUAAUAAACACUCUUUGCCAUGACUAAUGGCUUGCAGAAGAAAUUUGAAGCAUAAAGCUCAGAACAGUGACAGAAAGGCUUCCCUGCACCCCUUCUUUUUCCUUCUUCACAUCUCUUGCCCCCAGUCUUACACACAGUAUUUUUUACAGAGGUCAAUAAUAUUGGUAAACAAAGUAAGGAGUGGAAAAUGAAGUACAAACCUGUUAGGUGAUGAAGGAAAAUGAAGUACAAACUUGUCAGUUGAUUAAUUCCUUCCUAAAGCACAUCAGAGGCUGCACAGGUUAUUUACUCUAAUAUCUUCCCUGUUAUGAGAUGACAAAGCAUUAUUUUCAGAUGUCCAAACAUUCAAUCAAGAGCUCUUUCCUUCCUAAUUUCAUUCCAAGGUCUCAUUUUCCCACCCCCCUUCCAGCACUGCCAGAUGAAAGGCCACAAUUAAAAACCUCCAGAUCCCAUUCACUUAUUUUAUAAUAACAAACACGAGCUUUCAUGAUAUGCCAAAGGCCUCAUUUAAAAAUCACAGAAUCAAAGAAUUAUUUGGGUCGGAAAAGACCACUAAGAUAAUCAAGUCCAACCAUUAACCCAGAACUGACAAGGGCACCACUAAACCUUGUCCCCAAGUGCCACAAAAGAUAAGUCCCUCCAGGGAUGGUGACUCCACCACCUCCCUGGGCAGUGCCAGUGCUUGAUUCCUCUUUUGAUGAUAAAUUUUCCAUUUUCUCUGGUUUUAUCACUUGGAGAAGAUACCAACCCCCACCUGGCUACAACCUCCUUUAAGGAAGUUGUAGAGAAUGAUAACAGGGAGGAAGAGGACACAGACCCAUUCAAAAAUUACAGACAUAGUUGAUAUCCAUCCACUGUAGCAAUGAAUACACUUUGAAAGGGAAGCAACAGCAAAAAGAAAACAAAAUAUAAACCCAAAAUGAAGCACAUCAGCUUAACAAAAAUAAGAAAGUUCAAGUUCUGAAGGCAGAAUUCUAACAGCAUGGAAAAGAUUAUUUUUUUCCUCAUAAGAGGAUAAAACCAAGCUACCUAUAGAAACAAGCCCAGAGCAAAUAUCAUGUAUUACCAACAGAUUUAAAAUCCUAUCUUCCUUUCCUCCCAGGCACCCUGUGUAACUGCAUGAGGCGUUUUGCCAUCUAUCUGCAUUGUAAGCAAGAACAAGGAGUUGGGAAGGGAUUGUUUGUGGCAUUCACAUUCUCUGGAAAAAUCCUUUCACCCAGGAUUUUUCUCCUGGGAAGCUGAGUAGCUUCAGAGAAAAAGGAAAACAAUUCUUAUCUCCUUUGCUUCUCCUCUGUUUUGCUCAUGUGGAUGUGUUUGGAGAUUGUUUACCCACAGGCAAUUGUUUCAUUGGUUUCUGGUGUGAAUUAUUUUGACUCUUUGGCCAAUCAGUGCCAAGCUGUGUUGAGACUCUGGAAAGAAUCACAAGUUUUCAUUAUUAUCUUUUUAGCACUGAGUAAGUAUCCUUUCUGUAUUCUUUAGUAUAGUUUAGUAUAGUAUUCUUUAAUAUAAUAUAGUAUUAUAAAAUAAUAAAUCAGCCUGUCUGAGAA